AUCAAGAGGCCUGCCUCGGCCUCAAUUCAACAUUGAGUUAGAUAGUAUUAUCGAAUCCAUAAAUUAAAAUUUCACACUCAAAUAAAAAUAACAAUUAAUAUUUAAAUAACAGAUUAUUUACAUACUACAUAUUAUAUGCCUGAUACAAUAUUUGUUCAAAGAAAAAAGGAAUUGAAUUUAGUAAUAUUGAUAACAAUGUGUUUCUAUAAAAGACCGCGAAAAUAAUUCAGGAGACAAUUCGACAUCUCUAUUCACAUUGAAUACGCACGAAAAAAACAUGAAACUCUCAAAGUUCCUGGUUUUCUUGAUGGCCCUUGUGAGUUUCGGCCAGGUCCAAGGCAAGAAGACAAGUAGCGACCGCUCCUCCGACCAAACCGUACUCAACGUUGUAAUAAAAUUCUUGGGAUGAACAUAAA